rnacentral:rRNA from 1 species
AUUGAACGCUGGCGGCAGGCCUAACACAUGCAAGUCGAACGAGUGGCGGACGGGUGAGUAAUGUCUGGGAAACUUCCUGAUGUAGGGGGAUAACUACUGGAAACGGUAGCUAAUACCGCAUACCAUCAGAUGUGCCCAGAUGGGAUUAGCUAGUAGGUGGGGUAAUGUCUCACCUAGGCGACGAUCCCUAGCUGGUCUGAGAGGAUGACCAGCAACACUGGAAAUUAGACACGGUACAGACUCCUACGGGAGGCAGCAGGGGGGAAUAUUGCACAAUGGGUGCAAGCCUGAUGCAGCCAUGCCGCGUGUGUGAAGAAGGACUGCGGGUUGUAAAGCACUUUCAGCGAGGAGGCGUUACUCGCAGAAGAAGCACCGGCUAACUCCGUGCCAGCAGCCGCGGUAAUAC